rnacentral:rRNA from 1 species
GUGGGGAAUAUUGGACAAUGGGCGCAAGCCUGAUCCAGCCAUGCCGCGUGAAUGAUGAAGGCCUUAGGGUUGUAAAGCUCUUUUGUCCGGGAAGAUAAUGACUGUACCGGAAGAAUAAGCCCCGGCUAACUUCGUGCCAGCAGCCGCGGUAAUACGAAGGGGGCUAGCGUUGUUCGGAAUCACUGGGCGUAAAGCGCACGUAGGCGGCCCAUUAAGUCAGGGAUGAAAGCAUGGAGCUCAACUCCAGAACUGCCUUUGAUACUGUUGGUCUCGAGUUCGGAAGAGGUGGGUGGAACGGCGAGUGUAGAGGUGAAAUUCGUAGAUAUUCGCAAGAACACCAGUGGCGAAGGCGGCCAACUGGUCCGAUACUGACGCUGAGGUGCGAAAGCGUGGGGAGCAAACAGGAUUAGAUACCCUAGUAGUCC